rnacentral:rRNA from 1 species
UACAGAGGGGCAAGCGUUAUUCGGAAUUAUUGGGCGUAAAGGGCGCGUAGGCGGCUUUGCAAGUGGCGGGUGAAAUCCCUCGGCUUAACCGAGGAACUGCCUGCCAGACUGUGAGGCUUGAGACCGGGAGAGGUGAGUGGAAUUCCCAGUGUAGCGGUGAAAUGCGUAGAUAUUGGGAGGAACACCAGUGGCGAAGGCGGCUCACUGGACCGGAACUGACGCUGAGGCGCGAAAGCGUGGGGAGCAAACAGG